UGAAAACAACGUUGUAAUGCCGUCGGAUGC
rnacentral:piRNA from 1 species